CCUACGGGUGGCAGCAGUGAGGAAUAUUGGUCAAUGGCCGGGAGCCUGAACCAGCCAAGUCGCGUGAGGGAAGAAGGCCCUACGGGUUGUAAACCUCUUUUGUCAGGGAGCAAGGUGCAGGUCGGGACCUGCUGUGAGAGUACCUGAAGAAAAAGGAUCGGCUAACUCCGUGCCAGCAGCCGCGGUAAUACGGGGGAUGCGAGCGUUAUCCGGAUUUAUUGGGUUUAAAGGGUGCGCAGGCGGAGGCACAAGUCAGCGGUAAAAUCGCGGGGCUCAACCCCGCUCCGCCGUUGAAACUGUGUGCCUUGAGUGCGCGAAGGGUAGGCGGAAUGCGUGGUGUAGCGGUGAAAUGCAUAGAUAUCACGCAGAACUCCGAUCGCGAAGGCAGCCUACCGGCGCGCAACUGACGCUCAUGCACGAAAGCGUGGGUAUCGAACAGGAUUAGAUACCCGGGUAGUC
rnacentral:rRNA from 1 species